rnacentral:rRNA from 1 species
GCGGGAGCCUGAUCCAGCCAUGCCGCGUGCAGGAAGACUGCCCUAUGGGUUGUAAACUGCUUUUUUACGGGAAGAAACACCCCCACGUGUGGGGGCUUGACGGUACCGUACGAAUAAGGACCGGCUAACUCCGUGCCAGCAGCCGCGGUAAUACGGAGGGUCCGAGCGUUAUCCGGAAUCAUUGGGUUUAAAGGGUCCGUAGGCGGGCGUCUAAGUCAGUGGUGAAAUCCCGCAGCUCAACUGUGGAAUUGCCAUUGAUACUGGUCGCCUUGAAUUAGUGUGAAGUGGCUAGAAUAUGUAGUGUAGCGGUGAAAUGCUUAGAUAUUACAUAGAAUACCGAUUGCGAAGGCAGGUCACUAACACUAUAUUGACGCUGAUGGACGAAAGCGUGGGGAGCGAACAGGAUUAGAUACCCUGGUAGUCCACGCCGUAAACGAUGGAUACUAGCUGUCCGGCCUGCAUUGGUAGGCUGGGUGGCCAAGCGAAAGUGAUAAGUAUCCCACCUGGGGAGUACGUUCGCAAGAAUGAAACUCAAA